rnacentral:tRNA from 2 species
GGAUGGAUGGCCGAGAGGUCGAAGGCGGCGGUCUUGAAAACCGUUGAGGUGCAAGUCUCCGGGGGUUCGAAUCCCUCUCCAUCCG